UACGGGGGGGGCAAGCGUUGUUCGGAAUUACUGGGCGUAAAGGGCUCGUAGGUGGCCAACUAAGUCAGACGUGAAAUCCCUCGGCUUAACCGGGGAACUGCGUCUGAUACUGGAUGGCUUGAGUUUGGGAGAGGGAUGCGGAAUUCCAGGUGUAGCGGUGAAAUGCGUAGAUAUCUGGAGGAACACCGGUGGCGAAGGCGGCAUCCUGGACCGGCACUGACGCUGAGGAGCGAAAGCCAGGGGAGCAAACGGG
rnacentral:rRNA from 1 species